AAACAAGAUCCUCUGGGGCUUUUUACUUUCUGCCCCAGACGGACCAGACGAAAGAUGCCCUUUGUGGUCUCUUUGGACCAACAAGACUCUGUGAUCAUAGAGGAAUGUGAGCAUGAAUGCCAGGUUCCCACCAAGUGCUGGUCUUCUUCCUGCAAACUUUCUGCACUCCUAACUCCACCGCAGCAUCUGCCUUCUGGAGAACACAGCUGUCACACCUGUGUUAAGCUCCAAAGCGCUGGAGGUACCUAGUGCCUGGAUGAAACUAGAGACAUGGAGAUAUUGCACCCAAUAGGACAAGGAUGAAUCCAGCCCACAGGCCACCAGAGAGGAGGAAUACAGCUAAGUGGCUGAGGGCAUGGAUGCUAGCAGCUGGCACCAGCGCUAACCAAGGGCUUAUCAGGACAAGGGAGGCAGCUCCCCUCCAUGCCAG
rnacentral:lncRNA from 1 species